CUUGAACUGGUGAUUGAGCACCUGGUGAAGGCGAGGCCGGCCCAGGGAGCUCAGGCAGAUUGCUUGCACCUGUGCUCCCCAGGUGACCAGAAUGGGUGGGCUCUGUGAUUCUAUUCUAUGAGUCACAGUAGGGCCCCCCAGGGCUCAUAAGAGGGCCAGCCGCGGAAGGGAGAGCAUCUCCUGGUCAUGGGCUGCUCGCUGAGGAGGAGUGCUGUGUGGUCGGUGGGCCCCAUCAGCAGUUGGGUAUUGACUUGAUGCAAUCUACUAAUCACUGGAAGGCAUCUCUUUUAACUGGAGAAAGCAUUAUAUGAAAAUGGUGAACUGGAGCUACGUGGAGUGAUCUGGAGGGAGCUGUUUUCUCUGGCUGGCCAGGGCAGCAGAGCUGGAAGGACUUGGUGACUGGCUGCGACUAGGACCUCAUGCAUGUAAUGGUUGAAGGAGGGUGAAAUCUGCACAGGAAUCCAAAACAAUAUUGCCAAUGGUGAGAAACCAUUUCUGACAAGUCAGAAGACACACCUGCAACGUUCCGGGCUGAAGCAGAAAGAACAACCUCUAGAAAUACAAGAUGGGAAAGCUCCGAGAACGUUCCACAGCACAGAAAGAAGAUUCCCUGAAGAAGCAGCAACUGUUUUUGAGAUAUCAGUCCACUCGGAUUAGAUCUUUUUGCAUGGAUCUGAAAGCUAAUGAAUCUUUGAGGAAGCUUCAGUCAGCAUUAUCCCUCUGUAUUGCAAACGACGUAUUGGAUCUUCAAGCUGUUGUGUUUGUACCCCUGCAGCCAUUGGGCUGCUGCAGAGCUGUGUUCCACUUUGUCCCUCUAUUUGUGCUGUUGUGACAUUGGCCUUUGAUUGUAUACUGUGUAUCUGAG
rnacentral:lncRNA from 1 species